rnacentral:lncRNA from 1 species
CCAAAUUAAGGAUCCUGGAUAUUUAUGACUGCCCACAGUUAGAAGAAAGUUGCACCAAUAGGAGAAGCCCAAACUCCCAGUGGUCCAACAUUUCCCAUAUUCCAAAAAUUAUAGUAGGUCUGUGGGUAAUUCAGGAGUCAGGACAGUAAGUCUCUGUUACUCUUUCAGUUUCUGAGUUUUAAUACUACUUUUUUUACUGCUAUCAAUUACAUCUGUGCUAUGCUUCCAGCAUUUUGCUUGUCAACUUGAACCGAAUUGUUCUUCUUCUAAUUCUUCAAGUAUGUCAUAUCUCCAUAUGAUUUAAUCAUGAAUGAAAAAUUAUGGAUUUUUUCCUUAUAGGUUACUAGCUCCAAGGUAACGUUGCUGUGGUAAAUCAAGCCAAAUCCUAUGAGCAGCAGGCAAUUACUUUAGGUAAAUUUUCAUUUAGGUAAUCUACUAGUUUUUUGUCUUUCUCUUUGUUGGGGACCAAUUUUUGGAGUUCUAUGCUGAUGAAUACAACAUUACCUUCCUAAAAAAGAUGUUUUAAUCAUGAAAAUUUAUGUUUCUGCUCAGAGGUUACUAGGUACAAGGUCAUGGUAGAACGUGGUUGUGGUAUAUCAAGUCAAAAUCCAUGAACAGCAAUCGCCUUAGGUAUUUUUAUUUAGUUGUUAUAGGAAUGCUAUAACAAGUUUGUCAAGUUCCUUUUUUCUCAUGAUACUACUUUACUGUUUAACAGGAUUUGUUAUGUUUCAUAGAGGAAUCACCACUGUUAUUUUGAAGAACACAAUCUUCAGCUAUAGACUCAUUACGGAGCACUUUUUCACAAGUAUUUGGGUACUGAACAACCUUUUCGGGAACUGAAGUCUACAUAUGAAACAUCAAAAAACUCAAAGUGUAUAGGGUCCUCAAUGAGAAGCUACACUGGUCUAUCCUCUGUCUUUGCAUGGCCGUGUUUGUCUUUUUAUUAUCCAUGUAAGUUUCUGCAAUGUUAUUUGAUGAAUAAAUUCUGAUAUCUACUCUCAUUGGGACAUUGGUAUUUAACUUUCUAUGUAAUUGUGGAACUAUUAGAAUGUAAGCUGUUUUAUCCCUUUUGCCAGAGCUUCAUUCUUCAUAAAUUCAGUGUUUUACUUUCUCACAGUAUUAAUGUCUGACCCUCCCCUCUCCCAACCGGUACGAAAUAAGAAAAAUCUCAGUAUUUGUCAUACCUAUUCAGGUGCUAUGAUGAAGAUGACAGAAGCAAUGGAUGGUUGGUGCCAUUGAAAUCUGUUUGUGAGGUAUUCAUGACUUGCAGCUCAAUUGAUUGUAUCCAUGGAGGUUGUUGUGGUUUAAAUGCACUAUUAA